GAACUGAGCUGCUGCCACUAUGUGGUCAUUAGAAAUAUGAGAACCAUCUGGUUCCUUUCUCCUAGAGAGCAAACAGCUAUCUGCCAAGGUGGGCUGAAGUCAGAUGGAGUAUUUCAAGAUAAAAAUGAGAAGACCUGAAACUCACAGAACCCUCUUUAGGAUGUUGGUGCUGAGCCUGUGCCAUCCUCCCUUACCAAGGCUCCUUCAGCCCCUGCCUCUGGGUUCUUCCUCCUUCCAGCAGCCUGAUUUCUGGGAGAUGCUCAGCUGAGUGCACAAGGCUGUGAGGCACUGGCAAUGUCCCCCUGGCACCCUACUCUUCAGGGAAACUGCAAACUACUUGACACGCAGGCUUCCAAGAAAUUUGCGAAAUGUUUUCUGGCAAGCUGAGAAACAACAGUUUACAAGAUGGAAAUACAUGUAUUGAUGUUUGAUUUCUUGCUGCCCAAACAUACUUUGGGGCUUCGUUUAGCCUGAGCUCAACUGCUGGUUGUUUAUACAGGCUACUGGCUGUUUACAUUAGGUCAAUACACAGGAUGGGCUGUUUAUACCAGACCAGCAACAAAUUCCACAGCAUGGUCUGUGUCUACCACUGCUGCUCUUUUAUAUGUGCAGAGCUGGAAAGAAAUAAAAACUCAGCUCUGGAAAUAAACAAGCAACAAACCCUCCUA